AAGUCGAGGGGCAGCACGGUUAGCAAUAACUGGUGGCGACCGGCGCACGGGUGCGUAACACGUAUACAAUCUACCUUCAACAGGGGGAUAGCCUUUCGAAAGAGAGAUUAAUACCCCGUAAUAUAUUUAACGGCAUCGUUGAAUAUUGAAAGUUCCGACGGUUGAAGAUGAGUAUGCGUCUGAUUAGCUAGUUGGUGAGGUAACGGCUCACCAAGGCAACGAUCAGUAGGGGAUCUGAGAGGACUAACCCCCACACUGGUACUGAGACACGGACCAGACUCCUACGGGAGGCAGCAGUAAGGAAUAUUGGUCAAUGGAGGCAACUCUGAACCAGCCAUGCCGCGUGCAGGAUGAAGGCCCUAUGGGUCGUAAACUGCUUUUAUACCGGAGAAAACCACCGUACGUGUACGGUGUUGAUAGUAUGGUAAGAAUAAGCAUCGGCUAACUUCGUGCCAGCAGCCGCGGUAAGACGAAGGAUGCAAGCGUUAUCCGGAUUCAUUGGGUUUAAAGGGUGCGUAGGCGGACUGAUAAGUCAGUGGUGAAAUCUCUUUGCUUAACAAAGAAACUGCCAUUGAUACUGUCGGUCUAGAGUAUAGAUGACGUUGGCGGAAUAUGACAUGUAGUGGUGAAAUACUUAGAUAUGUCAUAGAACACCGAUUGCGAAGGCAGCUAACGAAACUAUAACUGACGCUGAGGCACGAAAGUGCGGGGAUCAAACAGGAUUAGAUACCCUGGUAGUCCGCACCGUAAACGAUGAUUACUCGUUGUUGGCAAUAUGACCGUCAGCGACCAAGCGAAAGCGAUAAGUAAUCCACCUGGGGAGUACGCCGCAACGGUG
rnacentral:rRNA from 1 species